ensembl:lncRNA
CAGAGGCAUGUGAGAGACCUUCUAUUGGUAACCCACCUCUAUAAUACAGACCUUCUAUUGGUAACCCACCUCUAUAAUACAGACCUUCUAUUGGUAACCCACCUCUACAAUACAGACCUUCUAUUGGUAACCCACCUCUAUAAUACAGACCUUCUAUUGGUAACCCACCUCUACAAUACAGAUCUUCUAUUGGCAUUAACCCACCUCUACAAUACAGACCUUCUAUUGGUAACCCACCUCUAUAAUACAGACCUUCUAUUGGUAACCCACCUCUACAAUACAGACCUUCUAUUGGUAACCCACCUCUACAAUACAGACCUUCUAUUGGUAACCCACCUCUAUAAUAUAGACCUUCUAUUGGUAACCCACCUCUACAAUACAGACCUUCUAUUGGUAACCCACCUCUACAAUACAGACCUUCUAUUGGUAACCCACCUCUACAAUACAGACCUUCUAUUGGUAACCCACCUCUAUAAUACAGACCUUCUAUUGGUAACCCACCUCUAUAAUACAGACCUUCUAUUGGUAACCCACCUCUAUAAUACAGACCUUCUAUUGGUAACCCACCUCUACAAUACAGACCUUCUAUUGGUAACCCACCUCUAUAAUACAGACCUUCUAUUGGUAACCCACCUCUACAAUACAGAACAUCUAUUGGUAACCCACCUCUAUAAUACAGACCUUCUAUUGGUAACCCACCUCUAUAAUACAGACCUUCUAUUGUUAUUAACCCACCUCUACAAUACAGACCUUCUAUUGUUAUUAACCCACCUCUACAAUACAGACCUUCUAUUGGUAACCCACCUCUACAAUACAGACCUUCUAUUGGUAUUAACCCACCUCUAUAAUACAGACAUUCUAUUGUUAUUAACCCACCUCUACAAUACAGACCUUCUAUUGGUAACCCACCUCUACAAUACAGACCUUCUAUUGGUAUUAACCCACCUCUACAAUACAGACCUUCUAUUGGUAUUAACCCACCUCUACAAUACAGACCUUCUAUUGGUAUUAACCCACCUCUAUAAUACAGACCUUCUAUUGGUAACCCACCUCUAUAAUACAGACCUUCUAUUGGUAACCCACCUCUAUAAUAGAGACCUUCUAUUGGUAACCCACCUCUACAAUACAGACCUUCUAUUGGUAUUAACCCACCUCUACAAUACAGACCUUCUAUUGGUAACCCACCUCUAUAAUACAGACCUUCUAUUGGUAUUAACCCACCUCUACAAUACAGAUCUUCUAUUGGUAUUAACCCACCUCUACAAUACAGACCUUCUAUUGGUAACCCACCUCUAUAAUACAGACAUUCUAUUGGUAACCCACCUCUGUAAUACAGACCUUAUAUUGGUAACCCACCUCUAUAAUACAGACCUUCUAUUGGUAACCCACCUCUACAAUACAGACCUUCUAUUGGUAACCCACCUCUAUAAUACAGACCUUCUAUUGGUAACCCACCUCUACAAUACAGACCUUCUAUUGGUAACCCACCUCUACAAUACAGACCUUCUAUUGUUAACCCACCUCUACAAUACAGACCUUCUAUUGGUAACCCACCUCUAUAAUACAGACCUUCUAUUGGUAACCCACCUAUAUAAUAACCCACCUCUACAAUACAGACCUUCUAUUGUUAACCCACCUCUACAAUACAGACCUUCUAUUGGUAACCCACCUCUAUAA